rnacentral:rRNA from 1 species
AGUGAACGCUGGCGGUAGGCCUAUCACAUGCAAGUCGAACGGCAGCACAGUAAGAGCUUGCUCUUACGGGUGGCGAGUGGCGGACGGGUGAGGAAUACAUCGGAAUCUACUUUUUCGUGGGGGAUAACGUAGGGAAACUUACGCUAAUACCGCAUACGACCUACGGGUGAAAGCAGGGGAUCUUCGGACCUUGCGCGAUUGAAUGAGCCGAUGUCGGAUUAGCUAGUUGGCGGGGUAAAGGCCCACCAAGGCGACGAUCCGUAGCUGGUCUGAGAGGAUGAUCAGCCACACUGGAACUGAGACACGGUCCAGACUCCUACGGGAGGCAGCAGUGGGGAAUAUUGGACAAUGGGCGCAAGCCUGAUCCAGCCAUACCGCGUGGGUGAAGAAGGCCUUCGGGUUGUAAAGCCCUUUUGUUGGGAAAGAAGAGCAGCAGGUUAAUACCCCGCUGUUCUGACGGUACCCAAAGAAUAAGCACCGGCUAACUUCGUG